rnacentral:rRNA from 1 species
CCUACGGGAGGCAGCAGUGAGGAAUAUUGGUCAAUGGACGAGAGUCUGAACCAGCCAAGUCGCGUGAAGGAUGACUGCCCUCUGGGUUGUAAACUUCUUUUAUAAAGGAAUAAAACGAGGCACGUGUGCCUUUUUGCAUGUACUUUAUGAAUUAGGAUCGGCUAACUCCGUGCCAGCAGCCGCGGUAAUACGGAGGAUCCGAGCGUUAUCCGGAUUUAUUGGGUUUAAAGGGAGCGUAGAUGGGUUGUUAAGUCAGUUGUGAAAGUUUGCGGCUCAACUGUAAAAUUGCAAUUGAUACUGGCAGUCUUGAGUACAGUUGAGGUAAGCGGAAUUCGUGGUGUAGCGGUGAAAUGCUUAGAUAUCACGAAGAACCCCGAUUGCGAAGGCAGCUUACUAAACUGUGACUGACGUUGAUGCUCGAAAGUGUGGGUAGCAAACAGGAUUAGAUACCCCGGUAGUC